UCCCAACAUCAGGGAAACAACGAGAGAACUAUUCUACAAUAGCUUGUCAUUUCAAAGUAGUAUUUCAGAGUGUCAUAAGGAAAGCGAUUUAAAUGAACGUUCAGAUAGAGAAAAAGUAGAAGCAGAAGAAAUAGAGGAAUAAAGGAUAUGAAGAACUCUUAAGAAAAGUUAUUUCCUUCAUCUAUUCAGGAUUUGAAGCCUUUGGAUCGAGUAAAGCGUGAGAUCCGACACAAAAUCUUCUUCAAAAAAAGAAGAUAUUUGGCCGGCUUCCCCUGGACUUUGGUCUUUUUGGGUACCUCAAGGGGAACUUUUCUUAUAAUCGAUAAACAACAA
rnacentral:lncRNA from 1 species